rnacentral:rRNA from 1 species
UUCUUUAGCCAUAUCACCCUGCAGCCCAAGAGCGGUUUACUGAAGUUAGGCAGGGCUGAGCCUGGCCAGUACCUGGAUAGGAGACCACAUGGGAAAACUAGGUUGCUGUUGGAA